rnacentral:rRNA from 1 species
UGGGGAAUUUUGGACAAUGGGGGCAACCCUGAUCCAGCCAUGCCGCGUGAGUGAAGAAGGCCUUCGGGUUGUAAAGCUCUUUCGGCGGGGAAGAAAUGGCAACGGCUAAUAUCCGUUGUUGAUGACGGUACCCGCAUAAGAAGCACCGGCUAACUACGUGCCAGCAGCCGCGGUAAUACGUAGGGUGCGAGCGUUAAUCGGAAUUACUGGGCGUAAAGCGUGCGCAGGCGGUUUCGUAAGACAGACGUGAAAUCCCCGGGCUCAACCUGGGAACUGCGUUUGUGACUGCGAGGCUAGAGGACGGCAGAGGGGGGUAGAAUUCCACGUGUAGCAGUGAAAUGCGUAGAGAUGUGGAGGAAUACCUAUGGCGAAGGCAGCCCCCUGGGUUAGUACUGACGCUCAUGCACGAAAGCGUGGGGAGCAAACA